AUGGGCAGGGAGGCUCAUAAACCCAGGGAAUUCGGGUUUGAUUUGGCCUGGUUAAAAAAUGAGGACUUUCUACCCUUAGUGGAGAAAAUCUGGAGUAGAGCGGUUAAAGCUGAAGAUCCUAUUGAUAUUCUUAAUAUCAAACUAAAAAGGUUUAAAACCUUCUUCAAAGGGUGGGGGUCCAAUAAGUACGGAUAUUCCAAGAAAAGAAAAGAAGAAUUAAGGGUAGAAUUGUCCACUCUUGAGGAGCUUGAAGAGGAGGGACCUCUGACCCCUGAGAUGUAUAGUAGAAAGGUGGAUAUUAAUUUUGAACUUCAUGAGAUUCUGGUGAAUGAGGAGAUUUUCUGGCUGCAACAAUCCCAUGAGCGUUGGCUGCUCAAAGGGGAUUUGAACACUGAUUACUUUCAUAAAAUUGCAAACGGGCGAAAAAGGAAGAAUACUAUUCAUUCCCUCAAGUGUGGUGAUGUUGAGAUAGAAGGUACUGAUAACCUUAUCUCACAUGCCACAGAAUUCUAUAAAACCCUUUUCGGCCCAGCCCCAGGCAACUUGUUUCACAUGGACCCUGGCUCGUGGGAUGAGUCUGAAAAACUCACCCACGAGGAUAACGCUGUGUUGGAAAUAUGCUCUAGAGGCAAUAACAAAUUAGUUAUUAUUAUAUUUCCUUGUUCAUGA
rnacentral:rRNA from 1 species